rnacentral:rRNA from 1 species
GUGGUAAUGCCGGAUGCUCCAUCACACCGCAUGGUGUGUUGGGAAAGCCUUUGCGGCAUGGGAUGGGGUCGCGUCCUAUCAGCUUGAUGGCGGGGUAACGGCCCACCAUGGCUUCGACGGGUAGCCGGCCUGAGAGGGCGACCGGCCACAUUGGGACUGAGAUACGGCCCAGACUCCUACGGGAGGCAGCAGUGGGGAAUAUUGCACAAUGGGCGCAAGCCUGAUGCAGCGACGCCGCGUGAGGGAUGGAGGCCUUCGGGUUGUAAACCUCUUUUGUUAGGGAGCAAGGCAUUUUGUGUUGAGUGUACCUUUCGAAUAAGCACCGGCUAACUACGUGCCAGCAGCCGCGGUAAUACGUAGGGUGCAAGCGUUAUCCGGAAUUAUUGGGCGUAAAGGGCUCGUAGGCGGUUCGUCGCGUCCGGUGUGAAAGUCCAUCGCUUAACGGUGGAUCCGCGCCGGGUACGGGCGGGCUUGAGUGCGGUAGGGGAGACUGGAAUUCCCGGUGUAACGGUGGAAUGUGUAGAUAUCGGAAAA